rnacentral:rRNA from 1 species
AGCAGCCGCCGCGGGAAUACAGAGGGUGCGAGCGUUAAUCGGAUUUACUGGGCGUAAAGCGUGCGUAGGCGGCUUCUUAAGUCGGAUGUGAAAUCCCUGAGCUUAACUUAGGAAUUGCAUUCGAUACUGGGAAGCUAGAGUAUGGGAGAGGAUGGUAGAAUUCCAGGUGUAGCGGUGAAAUGCGUAGAGAUCUGGAGGAAUACCGAUGGCGAAGGCAGCCAUCUGGCCUAACACUGACGCUGAGGUACGAAAGCAUGGGGAGCAAACAGGAUUAGAUACCCCCGUAGUCCCUGUCUCUUAUAC